UUCAUUCUCUGGAAUGUUGCAGCCCAGGCAAUGAUGAUUGAUACUGACAGGGAAGCUUUCAUGUAGCAAUAUCCCCGGCCACCGGCUGUGAGGCAAAGAGAAAGAACUCUCUGGAAUUCACAACAUUCCCCCUCCAAUUAAUCCCCAGCCACCCCGCUGUGUGUGAAUGGGUUGUGCUGGGGAUUCGUAGCUCUGAUGCGGGAGAUUUGCUGAUUCCUUUGAGCCCCCUGAGGAGAGGUGAUAUGGAGAGCAAAUAAUCAGCAUGCAGCACGGAGGCGAGAGAGGACAAAGAGGCUUAGAAAUUCCUAACCAGCACGGGGUCACAGACUGGAAGUGGUAACUGGAGUCUUCAGGUAAGAGGAAUCUCUACUGUCUAUGAGCCAGUUGUUUACCCAGAGAAGAAUUCCAUCACCUUCAGUUGCUUGCCUGCUGGAAUGACAUGGAUUCUCAUCCCUGAGGAAGUAAUUCUGGAUUCCUUCUCAUGAUAAUGAAGAUCAGUUACCCUUGAGAAGACAAUAACUCCUUUCUUGCCUAUUGUUUCCUGGUAUAAGGAGCUCAAAGUGAACAGGAUUCUGCACUGCCUGCAGCCCUGGGAGACAGAGCAAGUUCAGAAACCUGGUUUAUGCUAGUUUUACAAAGGAGAAAACAGGAUUGGAGAAAUUAA